rnacentral:rRNA from 1 species
AUUGAACGCUGGCGGCAGGCCUCACACAUGCAAGUCGAACGAGUGGCGGACGGGUGAGUAAUGUCUGGGAAAAUGCCCGAUGGAGGGGGAUAACUACUGGAAACGGUAGCUAAUACCGCAUACCAUCGGAUGUGCCCAGAUGGGAUUAGCUAGUAGGUGGGGUAACGGCUCACCUAGGCGACGAUCCCUCGCUGGUCUGAAAGGAUGACCAGCUACACGGGAACUGUGACACGGUCCAGACUCCUACGUGAGGCAGCAGUGGGGAAUAUUGCACACUGGGCGCAAGCCUGCGGCAGCCAUGCAGAGUGUAUGAAGAAGGCCGUCGGGGUGUAAAGUACUUUCAGCGAGGAGGCGUUACUCGCAGAAGAAGCACCGGCUAACUCCGUGCCAGCAGCCGCGGUAAUAC